rnacentral:rRNA from 1 species
CCUACGGGGGGCAGCAGUGGGGAAUAUUGGACAAUGGGGGGAACCCUGAUCCAGCGACGCCGCGUGAGUGAAGAAGUAUUUCGGUAUGUAAAGCUCUAUCAGCAGGGAAGAAAAUGACGGUACCUGACUAAGAAGCCCCGGCUAACUACGUGCCAGCAGCCGCGGUAAUACGUAGGGGGCAAGCGUUAUCCGGAUUUACUGGGUGUAAAGGGAGCGUAGACGGCAGCACAAGUCUGGAGUGAAAUCCCGGGGCUUAACCCCGGAACUGCUUUGGAAACUGUGCGGCUGGAGUGCAGGAGGGGUAGGCGGAAUUCCUGGUGUAGCGGUGAAAUGCGUAGAUAUUAGGAGGAACACCGGUGGCGAAGGCGGCUUGCUGGACUGUAACUGACGUUGAGGCUCGAAAGCGUGGGGAGCAAACAGGAUUAGAUACCCCUGUAGUC